CGCGCUCCCGCGAGGGGAUACACUUUCUAUCGGGGGUAACUACUUUGGCACGACACCUGUCGUGAACUGGUGUUGAGGUUGUGAUGACGGAUGGACGACCUGGACACCUGUAGUUUUCCACCUGAAUCUAGACAGACUUGCCGCUGUUUUCUUCGUUAAUUCGUGGUACUUUGCGGGGGUCAGGGCUUUGAGUUGGAAUCCAGAAGAGCAGAGAUAUAAAGAGAAACACUGGAACUUCCUGCAGGCUUUCCAGACACUCACAAAAGAUAUGACAACUUUCUGUUUCAUGGAUGGAGAGCCACAGCCCAGAUGGACCUGAAGCCUUGAAUGUGCAGCUGAAGUUUGAUCAACCAGCUGGUUUGGACCUGAGAACAGUGACAUUGAAAGACCUGCUUUUGUGUUUUUGUUGAAUGUAUCCUUUGGGCCUCAUUGGGUUGUUAACUGUCAAACCACAAUAUAAGUAUUUAUUUUUUGCAGUAAGCUCUGUAGCCUGUUUGUCAUUACUGUUGUCCAUCUUGUUGACUUAUCUUCUACUUUUUACUAUUGUUUUACUAACUCCACAUACUAGACACACGUCUACCCAUUCCGGAGCAGUUUUUGUUGUGUGCAGAGAUGAAAGUUUUCCGGGUUUUCCCGGAAAUCCGGGAUUUCAAAUUUUGUGAGUUCAUUUCCGGGAAUCUGGGAAAAUUGGUCGAAGUUUUCAGUGAAAAUCAGAAUUUGAUUGAUAGUAUUCUUUUUGAAAAUUUUAUUCUUAUCGCUAAUGCGUUGUUUGUUGUUUAUAUUCCUGUACGGAGGCAGCCAUUUUGAAUCUCGUUCAUUGACGCGAUUCCAAUCUAAUGCUGAAUACAUUGCUGCGAGAAUUUGCGAGAGCGGAUGCACUGAAUAGCGCCAGUUUUGAGUACAAAGGAGAGAUUAAUCAUUGAAUAGCGCUCAUUGAAUAGACGACCUUUGCUUUUGUGUAACUGUAAUGACCCGUACCUGUCAGGACAAUGUUUAAACAGCUAGACAGGCACGCUGACGUGCGUGCUAUAGACGCGACAGUCAAGAACGCGUUCCGGUGGUCGUGGUUAGAAGAGAAAGAUACGAACGGCGAUUUCUUGUCUGAAUAUAUCAGGAAAUUAGACAAACCAGGUACGUUUUUUUUAAAUUUUACAAAAAUAGAUAUCAAUAUAUUGAUAGUUUACUGUGUCUUAAGAUAAGAUAAAGAUAAGAUAAAGUUCUUUAUUUCUCCCCACUCCAGGGGAAAUUUACAUUGUUACAGCAGCUUAUGUAACAGGAGACAUAGUGAUAAGAAUAAAAUAAUAAUAGAACAAUAGUAAUAAUAUUUACAAUAUAUACAAGGGUGACAGAUGAGGGUAAAGUGGCUUAACAGUAAAAAUAAAAAUAAAGUUUAAAAGUGUCUGAAUAUAUCAGGAAAUUAGACAAACUAGGAACUUUUUUUUUUAUUUUACAAAAAUAGACCUCAAUUUUUUCAUAUUUUUGAGUGAAUAGAUAUCAUUUGUGCAUGCUUUUGAUAAGAUAGACUCCAUUGAAGAUCUAUAUUUGGUCAUUUUUAAAUUUUUAUCUUCAUUGAAUAUUGCGUGGUCAUUUUGAUUUUUUAUAUAUAUUUUUAUUGUUAAUAAAGACUAUAAUGCUAUGUUAAUUUAAUUGUAACAAUGACACUAUUAUAAUUUAUUAUUCGGCUCUCGCAUAAGGCUGCCUUCGGCAGCCUCUUGGAGCACCUUCGGCGCUCACUUGGCAAAGUUGCUUAGAAAAAAAACUUUCAGGGUUUUUUGCCAACAGCCACUUUCAUCUCUAUGUGUGGUGGCCUGCACUGUCCUGCUAGGGGAGGUUGGUGGCAUCAGGGAGUGUGCUUGGUCUGGAACAACGUGUAGGUAGGUGAUACAUGUCAAAUUAACAUCCACAUGAAAUAGAUUGGAAGCUUUGUGGUCAUUAUACUGCAGUGCAAGACAGCAAUACAACUCUAUUUUGAAAGCACCCUUUCAGUAAAAAAAAACAACAAACAAAUAGUCCAUUAAAAGACAUUCUCAAUACAGAUUAAAACAUCAAGACAUUUUGUAAGUUAAUAUGUAAAAGUGCAAUGUUUAAAGUGCGAGGUGUGGUAGCAGGAAAAAAAGUUAAAUAAAUUGCACAUCUAAACAGUGUGAACAGCUCAAUCAGCCAGUUUCAAUAUAUGUUUGUGUGAGUGGAGGGUGAGGGAUCCAGCCAUGUUCAAAAGUUUAACAGCCUGGUAAAAAGGCUGUUUUUAGUCUUGUUGAUUGUGUGUACUGUCCUGUAUCUCCUGCCAGAUGGGAGAGUAGAGGGGAUGUGGGAGGCCCUGCGCUUACACCAGGUCUGGUAAAUGUCCCCAGUAGAUGGCAGCAGAGUCCCAGUAAUGAUGUGGGCUCUUUUAUUGAACCAUUGCAGAGCCUUUUGGUCCUUCUUGGUGGAGCUGGAAAACCAUAAUGCAGCAUGGUAGGAUGCUCUCCAUUGUCCACCUGCAGAAGUAGACCAGAGGGCUCUGUGGCAGACUGACUCUCCUGAGCUUUCUCAGGACAAAGAGGCACUGCUGAACCUUCCCAAUAGUUGUGGUGGUUUGUAUGGACCAAGACACUUCUUCAGUGAUGUGUGUCACCUGAAUUCUAAAACUGGAGACUCUUUCCAUAGCCUCACCAUCUGGCUAUGUAUCUCAGAAAUGUUGUUAACAUUAGUGACAUUUUUAGUGCAGAAGUUACUGAAUAACAAUACAGAAGAGGUGCACUGUGUGCUGAGGUAAAUUUAUCAUUAACUUAUUUAAACUUUUCUUUUAUUCUGUAUUUUCCCCACUGAGAAACAUGAUUACAGUUGAGGUAACUUGCUUCCCUUAGGAUGCACAUUUUAUCCUCUUCUCCUUUCAGUUUCCAUUACGUGAGUUAAGUAGAAACUGUACCAUAAAGUGAAACCUUUGAAGGCGAGUGUGUACGUAUUAGCUGUCCACUCAGCCCACGCUGCAGUCAGCUGAUCCUUCAUCAUACUGUGUUCCUGCAGAAACUGCAAUAAGUUUUAAGGGUUAUAAGGGUUCUUCUGGGAAAAUACCAUUAAACCAACCUUUUAGGUAAAUGUUCCAGGAUGUUGGGUAGAAUAUACCAUCAGAUAAACCUUUUAGGUCUACAUUGGAAGAUUUUAGAGUAGAAUAUUCCUCCAAACCAUCCUUUAGGUCUACAUUUAAGGUGGAAUACUCCUUUACACCAAGAUUUUUUUGGUCUACAUUGAAGGAUUUUAGGUGGAAUAUUCCUUUGAACAAACUUUUUAAGUUUAUGUUCAAUGAUGUUGGGAGGAAUAUACCAUCAGACCAACCUCCAAGGUCUACAGUAGUGAAUUUUAGGUAGAAUAUACCAUUAAACUCACCUUUUAGGUCUACAUUGGAGGAUUUUAGGUGGAAUUUUCUUUCAAAUCGUCUUUUAGUCUACAUUUAAGGAUGUUUAGGAUGGUAUAUUCUUCCAAACCAACUUCUCAGGUCUACAUUUCAGGUGGAAUAUUCCUCCAUACUAACUUUUUUGGUCUACAUUGAAGGAGUUUUUCUAAACCACCCUGUUCGGGUCUAUAUUUGAGGUUUUAGGUGGAAUAUUCCUUUUAACCAGCCCCUCAGGUCUCUUUGAGGAUUUUAGAUAGAAUACUCAGUUAAACCAACAUUUUAGGUGCAUAUCCAAGGAUUUUUGGUGGAAUGUUCCUUUAAGGUGGAUGUUUGAGGACCUUGUAGGUGGAAUACUUCCUGAAACCAACCUUUUAGGUCAACAUUCAAAGAUUUAGGGUGGAAUAUUCCUUUAAACCAACCAAAUUUCAUGUUUUGCUCAUUAUCAAGUGAGAAACCUCAAUCCAGACUCCUCAUAAUGACGUUUGACAUUUAUGCUGCUGUUAUUUGUUUAGUCCAGACUAAAUGACAGAAAUCCACAACUGUAAUUUUAUUUCAGGACUCAGUUAUUUAAUGUCAAAACAAUCCAUGUGACUCUAAAAACUCAACAGCUUUACAAACUCUAAGAUUAAACUCUCCACAAGGAUCCAAAAUAAGUUGGACUUCUACAUGAGAGCUUUAAUUAUUCUUCAUCUACUUCCUGAAAAGUUUGGUCAAUAAAAAAGACAAAAACUAAUAUUUUCAGCUGAACUAAAGACAGAUUUUGUGUUUUUUCUGCUCACAUGUUGUGUUGUAAACUUCCUCUUUCAAAUAAAUAUCCUCCUAACCCCCUGGAAACCAGCGUUUGUCCUGUUUUUGUGUUGCUCCUCAGCGACCCUAGACAGCAACACACCAUACUAUGACGUUUUUACAAUGAUGGUUCUACUAUGGAACCAGUUUGACAUGUUCAGGUGUUCUUUGUGUGAAAACUCAGCGAUUUCAGGGUAUCAGAAGGUGGUUUUCAACUUUCUUUGUUAACUUUCUGCUUCAACUUUAAAUUAAAUUUCCUUCACUAACCCCGCCCUCUGUACUUCCAGUAAGCUGUGUUCCUAUUGGCUGUCCAGGUGGCUGCUUGGUGUUAUCAGGAACACCUGAGCAGCUUGGUGUUAUCAGGAACACCUGAGCAGCUCAGUGUCUUCCUGCUUCAUUUAGCUGCAGUCAAACAUUUCCUCUGUUUCUCUUCACCACUGAUCCGAGUUUGGCUCCAUUGCUUUAGUUUGUUUUUUAGGCGUUGGCUUGCAGCUUCCAGCAGUAAAAUUGUCUUUAACGUGUUUCUUAAUGUGUUUUAGGGCUUUGUACUGGAUAGUUGUCUUGGUAAAUGUGGUUCUUUAGCCACAGUUAGCACAUGGUGCUAAUGUGUGCAGUGAUUAGUGGAUUUGGUGCAGCUGAGUUGUGUCUUUAUCUUGGCUGUAGUGAGUCUUUAGAGGUUUUUGGUCAGACACAUUCUGUAUUCUUGUGAACCAGCGUUGGUUGUCCAGAAGGUAAGAGUUCCUGUCCUGAUUCUCUGUUCUCAGAGGUUCUCUGGUAGGCUGCAGGAGACUUUAGUGUUUGGGUUGUGCUAGUUUGGUUUUUGUAUGGUUUCAUUUGGACGACUAUCUUGAGGCCCCUCCAUGUGGUUUAGUGAGGUUUUCUGGAACAGUUCUACAAAGCAACCUGCAGCAGAAGAGACUUUGAGAGUUUUUAGGAAGUUCUGGAGACCAGACUUUAGAGCAGCAGAAACAUUUGUCAGCAGUUUGAGCAGGAGAAGGUGAGCUUCAGAGUAGAAAUGAGACAGAAACCUUCUUGACCCGUGUGGUGAGGUCCUGUACCAAGAGUUUGAGCAGGUUGUGAAGAGUCUGUAGUUCUUUGGUCUGAAAACACAAGAAGAGUCGACUCAUUAAAGGAGAAAACAGGAGAUAUUGUUGGUUCUUCUGUCGCUCUGCAGUUUCCAGUUUCCUUAGACUGAAUAUCAAGUUUAUAUUUUAAAUGAUUUCCCAUGUGAGCCCAAGAAGACUUCAAUAAACUCCCUCCAUCCCCUGGACACGACAUAUUUUAUUAUGAUGUUAAAUCUUUUUUUUUUUAGAUAUGUUUUUGAGUUUUAAUCAUAGUUUUAGCAUAGUUUUUUCUCUUUGCUUGUUUAGUUUUGUCAUCUGUGUGAAAGCUGCUAAACAAAUAAAGUUGAAUUGAUAAACUGAAUAA